CGAUUGAAUGGCUCAGUGAGGCCUUCGGACUGGCCCAGGGAGGUCGGCAACGACCACCCAGGGCCGGAAAGUUGGUCAAACUCGGUCAUUUAGAGGAAGUAAAAGUCGUAACAAGGUCUCCGUAGGUGAACCUGCGGAGGGAUCAUUACUGAGUGAGGGCCUUCGGGCUCGACCUCCAACCCUUUGUGAACACAACUUGUUGCUUCGGGGGCGACCCUGCCGUUUCGACGGCGAGCGCCCCCGGAGGCCUUCAAACUGACCAUCUUUGCGUCGGAGUUUAAGUAAAUUAAACAAAACUUUCAACAACGGAUCUCUUGGUUCUGGCAUCGAUGAAGAACGCAGCGAAAUGCGAUAAGUAAUGUGAAUUGCAGAAUUCAGUGAAUCAUCGAAUCUUUGAACGCACAUUGCGCCCCUUGGUAUUCCGAGGGGCAUGCCUGUUCGAGCGUCAUUUCACCACUCAAGCCUCGCUUGGUAUUGGGCGCCGCGGUGUUCCGCGCGCCUCAAAGUCUCCGGCUGAGCUGUCCGUCUCUAAGCGUUGUGAGGCUAUUGGUCGCUUCGGAGCGCGGGCGGUCGCGGCCGUUAAAUCUUUCACAAGGUUGACCUCGGAUCAGGUAGGGAUA
rnacentral:rRNA from 1 species